rnacentral:rRNA from 1 species
UACGUAGGGGGCAAGCGUUGUCCGGAUUUAUUGGGCGUAAAGAGCGUGUAGGCGGCUAGGUAGGUCCGUUGUGAAAACUCGAGGCUCAACCUCGAGCUGUCGAUGGAAACCAUUUGGCUAGAGUCCGGAAGAGGAGAGUGGAAUUCCUGGUGUAGCGGUGAAAUGCGCAGAUAUCAGGAAGAACACCCGUGGCUAAGGCGGCUCUCUAGUACGGUACUGACGCUGAGACGCGAAAGCAUGGGGAGCGAACAGG